AAACCGUUGAAAGGGAAGCGAAUGGAGUUAGCAAUUCGCCCUGUCAGACUCAGCCGUUCGUGGUUCGCGACGUGCGCGCUCUCGAUCCGCAUGGACGAGACGCGUGCGGGUGUGGGCUUCGAGCGGCGCACUUCUGGCGGGCGAGCGUCAGCGUCGGUUGUCGACGGGCGAUAAGGUCGCAGGGAAGGUGGACCCGUCCUCGGAGGGGUUGUUACAGCCCUGCGCUCGCAUAGCUCGACGGCGACCGUGGCUCUAAGUAGGCGACGCGUGCCUGGCUGGCGACUCUCGUUCUCGGUCCGGCAUGUCGACUGUGGCGGACGGCACGCCUGUGCGCUCGAACUGCUGCCGGUCGAGGGUGGGAUGCUCGUACACGACGCGUCGAAGAUGCUGACGAUCAUACGGCUCCAUCCGACCCGUCUUGAAACACGGACCAAGGAGUCUAACAUGUGCGCGAGUCUCCGGGUGAUCGAAACCUGUGGGCAUAAUGAAGGUGAAGGCCGUCCUAGACGGCUGAGGUGAGAAGCCAACUCCUCGCGAGGCGGCUGCAUCAUCGACCGACCUAUUCUGCUCUCAGAAAGGUUUGAGUAAGAGCGUAUCUGUUGGGACCCGAAAGAUGGUGAACUAUGCCUGAAUA
rnacentral:rRNA from 1 species